CUAACAAUAUAUAUAUGCCGGCGUAGCCCUAAACGCGCUGAUUCUGAAAGUACAAUCGUUUUUCCAAGCCGCCACUUUCAUCGUCCUAGAUCUAAAGCCGAAGUUUCGACAUCUAGAGCUCCGACGAACUUCCGGCGAGGUUCGGCGAGCUUUUCCGGUCACGUUUCUCAUCUCCGGUGAAUUCCGCUUCCACCACGAGGAUAUCUCCGGCCACUCCUUGCGCGUCCUGAUCCUGUCCCCCCGUGGCCUCAUGCCGCGCUAGUCCUAGAAGCUCGCGCCCCUGCUUGUUUGUGCAGAGCAGCAGGCCGAGAUGCUACUCGUGAUAAGCAAGGGGAGCAGCCCUAGCUGCUGGUCCUGCUAGCCACCUCCACAUGGCGUGCUGCGGCGCCGGCCGGCCAGCAAGCUCUACGGCCGAGAUCCCUCCCUCCUGUGCGUGGUGCAGCAGCAGCCUGCAGUGGCCAUGGAGGUCACGUCCAGAUGCACAACGUGGAGCAAGACGAGAACCGUUUGUGGGCGUUGAAGAUCAGAAGGUGAUGACCGAAAGCUGAAGGUGUGAGAAUUGAGCAAAUAUUUAAGGCAAGUA